ensembl:lncRNA
GAUGAGUGAUGAGUGGUGUGUGAUGAGUGGUGUGUGAUGUGUGAUGAGUGGUGUGUGAUGAGUGGUGAGUGGUGUGUGAUGAGUGGUGAGUGGUGUGUGAUGAGUGGUGAGUGGUGUGUGAUGAGUGGUGUGUGAUGUGUGGUGUGUGAUGUGUGAUGAGUGGUGUGUGAUGUGUGAUGAGUGGUGUGUGAUGUGUGAUGAGUGGUGUGUGAUGAGUGAUGAGUGAUGAGUGGUGUGUGAUGAGUGGUGUGUGAUGAGUGGUGAGUAGUGUGCGAUGAGUGAUGAGUGGUGUGUGAUGAGUGGUGUGUGAUGUGUGAUGAGUGAUGAGUGGUGUGUGAUGAGUGGUGUGUGAUGAAUGGUGUGUGAUGAGUGAUGAGUGGUGUGUGAUGAGUGGUGUGUGAUGAAUGGUGUGUGAUGAGUGAUGAGUGGUGUGUGAUGAGCGGUGUGUGAUGAGUGAUGAGUGGUGUGUGAUGAGUGUUAUGUGGUGUGUGAUGAGUGGUGUGUGAUGAGUGAUGAUGGGUGUGUGAUGAGUGGUGAGUAGUGUGUGAUGAGUGGUGUGUGAUGUGUGAUGAGUGGUGUGUGAUGAGUGGUGAGUGUUUGUGAUGAGUGGUGAGUAGUGUGUGAUGAGUGGUGUGUGAUGAGUGGUGUGUGAUGAGUGGUGUGUGAUGAGUGAUGAGUGGUGUGUGAUGAGUGAUGAGUGGUGUGUGAUGAGUGGUGAGUGGUGUUGUGAUGAGUGGUGAGUAGUGUGUGAUGAGUGGUGUGUGAUAGUGAGAGAGAGAGAGUGAGAGAGAGAGGCAGAUAGAGAGAGACAGAGAGAGAGAGAUGUGAGGGAAAAGUGAAUAUAUAUUCUGUAAUCAGUUCCACAUGUGAGUCUCUCUCUGUCUCUCUCUCUCUCUGUCUCUCUCUCUCUCUGUCUCUCUCUCUCUCUCUCUCUCUCUCUCUGUCUCUCUCUCUCUCUGUCUCUCUCUCUCUCUGUCUCUCUCUCUCUCUCUCUCUCUCUCUGUCUCUCUCUCUCUCUGUCUCUCUCUCCUGAAAUCUCG